ACAUGCAAGUCGAACGAGAAAGUGGAGCAAUCCAUGAGUACAGUGGCGUACGGGUGAGUAACACGUGACUAACCUACCCUCGAGUGGGGAAUAACUUCGGGAAACCGAGGCUAAUACCGCAUAAUGUCUACGGACCAAAUGCGUAAGCAGCUCGAGGAGGGGGUCGCGGCUGAUUAGCUUGUUGGCGGGGUAACGGCCCACCAAGGCAAUGAUCAGUAGCCGGCCUGAGAGGGCGCACGGCCACACUGGAACUGAAACACGGUCCAGACUCCUACGGGAGGCAGCAGUGGGGAAUUUUGCGCAAUGGGGGAAACCCUGACGCAGCAACGCCGCGUGGAGGAUGAAGCCCCUUGGGGUGUAAACUCCUUUCGAUCGGGACGAUUAUGACGGUACCGGAUGAAGAAGCACCGGCUAACUCUGUGCCAGCAGCCGCGGUAAUACA
rnacentral:rRNA from 1 species